rnacentral:lncRNA from 1 species
GAUUAUGACGUGCUGGCGGCCAGGGCCUCGGGUGCUGCCUGGAGUCUCCUGCGUGUCUCUGCUCCUUUGAUGUCAGCAUCGGGGUGUCUGGGAGCCAGCUUCUGAGUGUUGUCAAGGUAGUCCUGGUGGCUUGAGACUGGUGAUGUGCCGUUGCCAACAAUGGCUGUGUAAUUCUGAGCAGUUGUUCAGCACUCAAGUGGGAUGAGAAUGGCAAGGAGUGCUCUGGGUGGCUUUUGACAAGGGACCCCGCCUGUCAUUCACUCAACAGGUGUUUGAGGAGCCAGUCUGUCUCCGUCAUCUGUUCCUGCCUUACUUAGAUGGAAAAUAAUGAAAUCUGUGUAGGAAGGGAGGAAAUUCUCUGAAGAGGACACUUUACCUGCUUUGGCGCUGACCACAAUGCUGAGCAGGAAGCAGCAGCUGCAGGCCCAGUGACUGGUAGCUCAGUGACCAGCAGCCCAGUGACCGGCAGCCAGGUCCUCACCUGGGUCCUCUCAGUGAAGCCAGGGUGGCCGCCCCAGCAGACAGUGCUACAGAGCCAACUCCU